CAGCAGACACAUUCCAGCCAAUCAGCAGCAGACCCUCCCUCCUAUACCCUCCCAUCUCCUGGACAGCUCACUAAGAAUGCAGCUUCACAAUGAAUGUAAAAUGGAUGCUGUCCAGGAGGUGAAAGGGUCUGGGAGGGAGGGUCUGCUGCUGAUUGGCUGGAAUGUGUCUGCUG